rnacentral:rRNA from 1 species
AACGAACGCUGGCGGCAUGCCUAACACAUGCAAGUCGAACGAGACCUUCGGGUCUAGUGGCGCACGGGUGCGUAACGCGUGGGAACCUGCCCUUAGGUUCGGAAUAACUCCCCGAAAGGGGUGCUAAUACCGGAUAAUGUCUUCGGACCAAAGAUUUAUCGCCUUUGGAUGGGCCCGCGUUGGAUUAGCUAGUUGGGAGGGUAAAAGCCUACCAAGGCGACGAUCCAUAGCUGGUCUGAGAGGAUGAUCAGCCACACUGGGACUGAGACACGGCCCAGACUCCUACGGGAGGCAGCAGUGGGGAAUAUUGGACAAUGGGCGAAGGCCUGAUCCAGCAAUGCCGCGUGAGUGAUGAAGGCCUUAGGGUUGUAAAGCUCUUUUACCCGGGAUGAUAAUGACAGUACCGGGAGAAUAAGCCCCGGCUAACUCCGUG